rnacentral:rRNA from 1 species
AUUCCAGCUCCAGUAGCGUAUAUUAAAGUUGUUGCAGUUAAAAAGCUCGUAGUUGGAUUUCUGGUUUCACAGAACUGGCCUACUUCCUCAAGGUCGUGUGCGCCGUGUUUUGUGUACCAUCCUUCUAGAAAUUGUGUUCCAUCCCUUCACUGGGAUAGAUCCGAGAUCUAGAUCUUUCACUUUGAAGAAAUUAGAGUGUUCAAAGCAGGCUCGCGCUGUGAAUACAUUAGCAUGGAAUAAUAAUUUAGGACUUGGUAUCCUAUUUUGUUGGUUUUCAGGAUCUAAGUAAUGAUUGAUAGGGAUGGUUGGGGGUGCUAGUAUUUUGCGGCCAGAGGUGAAAUUCUGUGAUUCGCGAAAGACUAACUUAUGCGAAAGCAUUCACCAAGGAUGUCUUCAUCA